CUAAAUCUUUACUUCUCUUUAAUGUUGUUAAAGAGUUUAUUUUGGUUCACAAUAUACUAGGCUUUGAAAGUCAUGGGUUUUAUGAAUUGUUUUUGAAUGCAUGCCUACUUUAAAGUGUUAAUAGCUUGCAUGAGUAUUCAAAUGUUCAUACUUGUUCUUAGCUAGGACAAAAUUUUUCCUUCAAGUGGUAUCAGAGCCUAGGCCUAGUGUAUGGUGAAUCCUUUUGGGUUUUGUGAUGUUCAUAUUUUGUGAUUUAAAUGUUGUAAAUGUUACAAGCUUUGUUCUUGCCUUUGAAUAUAUAAAUUUUGCUAGAAAAUUUAGCAUCUCAAAUGUUGUAGAUGUAUUUCAUUUAAGCAUGAAUAUUGGAACUAAAAUUUGGUGCCAUGAGUUUUGGGAAAUUCGGCCAAAUCCUUAGGGUGAUUUUUUGGGUUCAUGUUUGUCUUGUUAAAAUGGUUUUAAGGUGUUUUUUGGAACCCCUAAGUACCCUAGGAUAUUAGCCCUCUUUUGAGUGGUGAAAAAUUGAGUUUUGGUGAAUGAAAACAUCCAUGGAGCUAUUAUGAGUUUUUCAUGUUUGUUCUUCAUGUUCUUGAAGUUCUUGCCAAGAACAAAAAGUUUUGAAGUUUUGAUUUAAAGGUUUUAUGUUUUUCAUAAAGUUUUGGUUUAUUAAUUUUGUAUUAUAACUUAAGGGUGAAGAAAGGAAAAUGUCAUUAAUGUUUACAAAACAUUUUCUUACAUUUUCUUACAAGUCUUUAAAGUUUGCAAAGACUUUCUUCACCAACCAAUCCACUUGCUUAAGUACUUUAAUCAACUUGCAAAAACUUUUUCAAAAAUUUAAAUUUUUCACUUGUUCACUCCCAAUGGCCGGCCACCCCUAGUGGGGGUGCUUUUGGGGCCUUUUGUGCAAUUACAUAAAGUUUUAGAUACUUUUGUGUAUUUGCAUUUUGGCCCAAAAGUUUACGUUUUUACGUUUAGGCUUAAAAACUCUAAAGGACAAAUUGUUUUGAUC
rnacentral:lncRNA from 1 species